CUGCAUGGCUGUCGUCAGCUCGUGUCGUGAGAUGUUCGGUUAAGUCCGCUAACGAGCGCAACCCUUCCUACUUGUCGUGUUACGAUGUGGUCACACGGGACGUGCCGGUUUAAGCCGGAGGAAGGCGGGAUGACGUCAAGUCAGCAUGGCCUUUAUGUCCAGGGCUACACACGUGCUACAAUGGGCGAUACAGAGGGAAGCAAGGCCGCAAGGUAGAGCUAAUCCCUAAAGUCGUCCUCAGUUCGGAUUGCAGGCUGCAACUCGCCUGCAUGAAGUCGGAAUCGCUAGUAAUCGCGGAUCAGCUACGCCGCGGUGAAUACGUUCUCGGGCCUU
rnacentral:rRNA from 1 species